CGGCUCAGGAUCGGAAUCUAGCAGCAGUGGCGUCA
rnacentral:SRP_RNA from 1 species